AGAGAUGGUACCAUUUGUUCUGUGUUUAUGAAGCAUUGGAGACAUAAGUGUUCAUGCUCCUGAAGUUGAAUGGCGCUCUAGGUAUCUCUUGGACCUGAGCCACCAGAGCAGGAGAGAUGCCCCUAUGAGUCUGAUUGAUUCAGUGUCUGAAGACACUUUGUACCAUGAGGAUCCUCUUCCCUAAGCCAAAGUCUGUCAAAGUCAAUUCCAACAGCUGAUGAGAUCAGGAACAACAUUGAGUGUACCUCCCUCUCCCAUUUGCAUUCAGCAAAGACUCAAUUUGCGAUUCGUUACAAAAGGUUCAUGGAGUCUUGGUGCAAUAGUAAACUGCAAAACUUCCAAGCUCUCAUCAUUAGAUGAAACACUCAGACCUCCAGAUUCACCUCCAUUCUAUUGUUUUACUGUUCUAAAUGAACAGUCUAAUUUACUACAAAUCUGUGAAAGAGUGUGAAGCUGCUUCAUGCCUGGGAACAAAAAAGAUGAAGUAGGGGGUAAUUAACAAAAUGAAAGAAUGCCACAUGGCCCUGCGUUUUACUUUAUUUCACUGCUACCAGCUCUUUGUAAACCUUGAUUAGGCAGACAGCAUGUUUACACAGCCCAGGCAGCAUGUUCCUACAUGAGAAAGCAGGUUUUUUUUUAAUUAAACACACUCCUUUUUCAUAGUCUGCUGCAAUUUACAGUGUUGUUAAUUCUCUUUUAUACUGAACUUAUCUCUUUUUUCAAUCGAGCUUUUCUUCUCAAAUUCAUUAUGUUCUCUGUAGUAUUUACCUUGUGCUGGUUGACAAGAUCAGUGUCAAAUUAAAGUUCCUUAGAUUUCCAUACAAACUCUGGUUUUGGUUAGAUUUCAUAUCAGUACCCUGGCCAUUUUGCUCUUUAGCUACUGCAACAAGGAAUAUUUAAUCAAUUAAGUAGCAUCAAAACAUGACAAAUUACAAACUUCUUAGUAUAGACUACUAC